rnacentral:lncRNA from 1 species
ACUGGGUGACAGAGCAAGACUCUGUCUCCAAAAAAGAAGAAAAAAGAAGAAGAAAGAAAAAGAAAACAAACAUUUCUCCUGGUCUGCCUCUCCAUCCUCCAUCAUGGCUCUGAGGCUCCCAGGUCACUGGUGGGAGCUUUCCCAGUUGGGCCUGCCUGGGAAUCUACAGCCAUUGUCAUCUGCUACCAGCGAGUAGAUGAACACCUGCUGAGUAAGAAGCUCCUCCUGGGGCGUGGAGGUGGAGGCAGGGAAUCCCCUCCUUGCAAAGGAGCUCAGGCAUAAUGAAGAAGUGCUGAUGGACACACAGGAAUUCCCACUCUUCUUUGUUCAGCACUCCAAUGUGAAGAGGUUGAAAGGAGGAUGGUGUCACAGAUUGAAAUGGAAACUUGAGAGGGAAUUAGCUCUGGAGGAGCACAGAAGAGUACCGCAUUUCAGACCUCCCUCCCACCCCAAAGAGGAGAAACACCCUGUUGGACCUCACUGAUCCAUUGAAGGUGGAUAUGAGUCCUAUCUGGAAUGAGGUCUUAAUACAGGUUUUAUGUUGUGAGAACCCGGCCCCUGGCUCCCAGGAGUGCUUCUAAGUUAAAAACUUCAUUGCAUUAAUUUUGUUGUUGGUGGUGGUGUUGGUGUUUAAUACAUAUUUCGUAGACGCCCAUCUUAAAAGCUUUCUGAUUGAUUGGCGGCAGAGAACCAGUUCCCUUAUCUAACAGGACUAAGUCCCCAUUUUCUCUGUAGGGGCCAAGUCAUCAGUGUCUGCAGCUGUCUGCAGUUAGACCAAGAACAUCCAAAAAGGCUGAACAGAAGGUGGAAGAGGCUGCUCUGUUCUUUCUGGUCUGAUGUCAUGCCCUUAGUUAGUUGCACCUGAUAAGUACCUCAUCGUUUCUCCUUUGGAGCCUAAGUGGUCUUGCAGGUGUGUGGUUUACUGGGUACUGCAGCCUUCCCUUCUGCACCCAGCUGGCAGUGUCUGAGAGGAGUAGCUCUCCGCAGUAGGAUAACUAUACAUCGGGAUCCCAGGGCCUGCUCAGCCCUAGGGUAUUCACCUCUACCUCUCCAUUGUGUUUAUAUCGACAAGGAACCCCUCGGAGUUGUCCUAUCCAAUACAUAGCCACUAGCCACACAUGGCUAUUUAAAUUUAGAUUAAGUUAAAAUAAUUUUUUUUCUCAGUCGUUUCAGCCACAUUUCAAGUACUCAAUAGCCGCACUGUGGCAGGUGGCUACUGUAUCAGAGAGUGAAGGUGCAAAAUACCGCUGUCAUUGCAGAAGUUCUAUUGGAUGGUGCUGCUUCAGAGAUCACCCAGCCAAUGCCUUGAUUUUUCUAGAAUUUUAAGAAAC